GUCUACGGCCAUACCACCCUGAACGCGCCCGAUCUCGUCUGAUCUCGGAAGCUAAGCAGGGUCGGGCCUGGUUAGUACUUGGAUGGGAGAAAAAGCAAGGCAUCAAACACG
ensembl:rRNA 5S_rRNA 5S ribosomal RNA